CGGACCAGCAGCUGGAGACGGACGUCCUCUGUGUCCUCAGAGCAGGUUCAUCAGAGGCAUGAGCAGUGCAAGCUUCCACUGUGCACUCAGCCCCUGCCGGCUUGCCUUGGACCUGCCCUGGAGGGAGUUCAGGCUCUCUGGCCCAGUCCAUCCCCUGCCUCU
rnacentral:sRNA from 1 species